CGGGGUGUGGCGCAGCCUGGUAGCGCAUCUGCUUUGGGAGCAGAGGGUCGUGAGUUCGAAUCCCACCGCCCCGA
rnacentral:tRNA from 1 species